rnacentral:lncRNA from 1 species
CUCCUCUCCGUUGGUGUCGAUAAACGUCGAGUUUUUCCUAUUCGUCCUAUGACGUCUAGUUGUACCUGUCCCCACGUGGAUUUACCUCUCCGUUGGUUUUGGUAAACGUUGAGUUUUUUCCCAUUUCGUCCGUUGACGUAUGGUUGUAUCCCUCCCAGUCAUUCAUUAAUGUCUGGUUACCUCUCCGUUGGUCUUGGUAAACGUCGAGUUUUUCCUAGUUGUCCGUUGGCAUCUAGUUGUGAUUUCUAUUCCCAUUCGUCAUCGUUGUGAUGUCUGGAUGUGGCCAUACCCUUUGAAAACCAAAAAACAAAACAAAAUACCCAGUAAUAAAUAUCAAAUCCCA